rnacentral:tRNA from 1 species
GCCUGGGUGGCUCAGUCGGUUGAGCGUCCGACUUCGGCUCAGGUCAUGAUCUUGCGGUUUGUGGGUUUGAGCCCCGCGUCAGGCU